GGCUCAGGGUGAACGCUAGCGGCAGGCUUAACACAUGCAAGGUCGAGGGGCAUCGGGAGUAGCAAUACUUGCCGGCGACCGGCGCAAGGGUGCGUAACGCGUGAGCAACAUGCCCGUAUCAGGGGGAUAAUCCAUGGAAACGUGGUCUAAUACCCCAUAGUAAUUAUGUAAGGCAUCUUAUAUAAUUUAAAGCUUUGGUGGAUACGGAUUGGCUCGCGUGACAUUAGCUGGAUGGUAAGGUAACGGCUUACCAUGGCUACGAUGUCUAGGGGUUCUGAGAGGAAGGUCCCCCACACUGGAACUGAGACACGGUCCAGACUCCUACGGGAGGCAGCAGUGAGGAAUAUUGGACAAUGGAUGGAAAUCUGAUCCAGCCAUGCCGCGUGCAGGAAGACGGCCCUAUGGGUUGUAAACUGCUUUUGUAUGGGAGCAAUAAGGGCUACGUGUAGUCCGAUGAGAGUACCAUACGAAUAAGCACCGGCUAACUCCGUGCCAGCAGCCGC
rnacentral:rRNA from 1 species